GCCAGCCCCCUCCCCCAGCUUGCCACGGUCGGCCCUCCCCCAGCGCGCCGCCGAGCGCCUCAUCUACUACCGCCAUCGCCUCACCUUCUCCUCCGCGGAUAAGUUCAUCGAUGAGCGAGGACUCCAGAUCGAGCCGGCCGACACCAACCUGCUGGCGUGCCACCCCCGCCCAAGCCAUCUCCUCCACCACGGCGCCCCGCUGCCGAUUCUAACCAUGGGCACGCACAAGAGCCACCUCCGGUACUUGGUGCAGACUUGGUAGCGGUGAUAUUUUGGUCUAAUUAUAUAUCAACAACAGUGCAAUGACAGAAAAAAACAUUAGUUCAAAAUAUAUAUGCAAGAUGUUUGGGAGCUCCAUGCCGUCACCCGCCGGCGCACCUCUGCCUCUCUGUGGGCAGUGGAUCCUCCGCCACAGGUCAACCUCAUGGCAGCGGGCAGUUCGACGCUCCCUGUCGUGCUAUGUUCAACGCUCCCUCGAGCUCCACUAGAACUACUUUCCGGCUGCGUCUGCACCUCUGAAAAGGUUAAACCAUUGAAAGCGAGCACACAAAGCUGCAGAGGCAACAACUCCAAAGGAACCAGUACGGUGAUGUGUUUACAGUAUUCCUAAAAUAAAUGUAGUAAUGCUGUGAUUAAUACUAACAUUGAUGGAUCAGUCGUUUGUAUUGAAAAAAUCGUCAUACUCCGUUAAGCCAGGUUCUAUUCGUUUUGAUUUUUAGCUAUGCAAAUUGUUCUCUGAGAA